UCAAUAACUAACAAGUGGUAAAAGAGGCGGAGAGAUCAUCUUCUUCAAGAGAUUCACAUUCAUUAACCCAGAGAAAAGUUCUAUGAGAAAAUUCCCCUCUAAUCCUCUCCUUCUCCUUCCCUCUACCAAGGAUUCAAGCAAGCCUUGUUUGAAUCCUUUAAUCCCAAAAGAGAAUAUAGAGGGUUCUUGAUUGGUAGUGUUCGUGCGAGAAGAAGGUGAUCCGCGAGGAAGGAGUUCCGAUUGUUUGAGGGAUUUGUGAAGAAAGGUUCUUCAAAGUUUUCUUUUCUUCCACACGAUCUAGACAUACUAUACGAUUGAAGUUUGCUAAACGAUAGAAGAGUUCUGUCUUCUUCAAUCUCCUUCCAUCUCCAAACUCAAAAAACCCUCCAAACCAAAAUAGUCAAAGCCCACCACUCCUGGACUCUCAUCUUGACAAUACCAAAGGCUCCCAGUGGUUAUGUCUCUUGUUGGUUCGAGAAUUCUUGAAGAGAGUCUUCAAGAUUUGCUGAGUUCGAGGUUCAUGAUAGAUUGAGGGAUUUACAAGAAGAAUGGUUCUUCAAAGAAUUUGGAUGAUCCGCUUCCGCUCAAGGAUCUCUUUAAAACGAGUUCCUUCAAGAUGUUAUUCCCAAGAUUGCAGGCUUGAAGCUUGUGCUCUAAAUUCUAGAAUUUGCGCAAAGCUGGUUAAAGGAUUUCACAAAGAAUUGUAUGGGCGCAGAGGAGUUUUCCAACAAGACAGUUGACCAAUUCCUGAUUUGAAUCCUGAAUGGAAGAGUCGUUUAUCUUGAAAUUGGUGGAAUCUUCUUCAGAGGAGAGAGAGAAGGAUUUCCAGCCAUUGAUUAAGUCUUCUUCGUCCAUGGUAGCUCAAUAAUGGAGGAAAGAAGGAGAAGAAGAGAAAAACAGCUCUAAAAGAAACAAGUGAAGGCUACGAGAGGGAUGUCUCUGAAAGAAAUAGGGGAAGAUGCUCUCACGUUCUUAGAUGAAUCUUAAUCAACUUUUUUGUUUUAAAUGUAUUUAUAAAUCAUAAAACUAGUUACCAUUACCAAUAAAUUUAUCUUAUAUUAAUAAAAUUUGUAUAAUAUUUUGUAAUA